GGCUUAAUACAUGCAAGUCGUGGGGCAGCACAGGUAGCAAUACUGGGUGGCGACCGGCAAACGGGUGAGGAACAUGUACGCAAUCUACCUUUAACUGGAGGAUAGCCCCUCGAAAGAGGGAUUAAUACUCCGUAAGAUACUGAAGUGGCAUCACUUUAUUAUUAUAGCUCCGGCGGUUAAAGAUGAGCGUGCAGCUGAUUAGAUAGUUGGCGGGGUAACGGCCCACCAAGUCUGCGAUCAGUAACUGGUGUGAGAGCACGACCAGUCACACGGGCACUGAGACACGGGCCCGACUCCUACGGGAGGCAGCAGUAAGGAAUAUUGGUCAAUGGACGCAAGUCUGAACCAGCCAUGCCGCGUGGAGGAUUAAGGCCCUCUGGGUUGUAAACUCCUUUUAUCUGGGAAGAAAUGCUUCGAUUCUUCGGAGCUUGACGGUACCAGAGGAAUAAGCACCGGCUAACUCCGUGCCAGCAGCCGCGGUAAUACGGAGGGUGCAAGCGUUAUCCGGAUUCACUGGGUUUAAAGGGUGCGUAGGCGGGCAUAUAAGUCAGUGGUGAAAUCUCCGGGCUUAACUCGGAAACUGCCAUUGAUACUAUUUGUCUUGAAUAUUGUGGAGGUAAGCGGAAUAUGUCAUGUAGCGGUGAA
rnacentral:rRNA from 1 species